AUUUAUUUGCCGACGCAAACUUUGCUAUUUGGGGAAGCUGCUUGAGUACUACGAGCGUGUGCUUAAAACUCAAAGAAUUUGGCGGCUCGUUAACUACCUAGGGGAAUAUGUGCCUUAAUCCGAUGAUACCCGUUAUAUCUUACUGCACCUUGAAAAAGAACAGUUGGUGUAUUGCCGUUGUCAGCUUGUUGUCGAGCAGAAAGUAACAGGCUUAAGGGAACCGCUAACUUGUUAAUGGGAUCCGCGAAUUCAGGUCGAAAUGCUGCCUAUGGUGCAAGGGAGUAGGUAUUACAAUUUAAAUUUAAAACGACGGAUCUCAUUUUUUUGUGAAAUCUUUGAGUGAAGGUGGACUUAGGAGUAAGGGGGGAUUAAUAUGCUCCCUGAACAUGAAUCUAACUUGUGUACAAACCGCCCGUCGCUCUCGCCGGAAGGGAGAU
rnacentral:rRNA from 1 species